AGCGAACGCUGGCGGCAGGCCUAACACAUGCAAGUCGAACGACCCUUUCGGGAUUAGUGGCGGACGGGUGAGUAACACGUCGGAACGUGCCUUUAGGUUCGGAAUAACUCAGGGAAACUUGUGCUAAUACCGGAUGUGCCCUUCGGGGGAAAGAUUUAGCGCCUUUAGGACGGCCCGCGUCUGUUUAGCUAGUUGCGUGUGGUAAUGGCGCACCAAGGCGACCAUCAGUAGCUGGUAUGAGAGGAUGAACAGCCACAUUUGGACUUGGACACGGCGCAAACUACUACGGGAGGCAGCAGUGGGUGAUCUUGCGCAAUGGGCGAAGUCCUGACGCAGCUAUGCCGCGUGAAUGAUGAAGGUCUGAGGAUUGUAAAAUUCUUUCACCGGGGACGAUAAUGACGGUACCCGGAGAAGAAGCCCCGGCUAACUUCGUG
rnacentral:rRNA from 1 species